GACUAAAUGUUGCAUAAUUGGAUGUAAAAACGUUGGCAUUCACAAAUUUCCAAUUAAUCCUACUUUAAAAAGAAGUGGAUAGUUGCCGUGAGAAUUAAAAACUUCACGCCUACGAAGUACUCGAGGUUAUGUCGGGACCAUUUUAAUGAAGAAGACUAUCAGUCUAUGAGUGUGACUACUGGCUUACUUUGUGGACGUUUCCCAUGGAACCAGAAGAUAUUUUCCAAUAGUUCACGUGCAAGAGAAAAAAGAAUUCGCAGAAGAAAUAUAAAAAAGAAACUUUUUGACCAACUAUCUAGUGAUAUACUUACACCAAUUUCUCCUGCACUAGAUCCACAGCCAUCUACUUCAUUCAAUACUCCGGAUACCAAUAACCAGGAAGAAUUCAAAGAAUCCUUAAAUUCAACAUCUGCUGAUCAUGGUGACCAUAUUUCAACUCGAAAUUCUCAGAAAACAGUGAGCACUCAGACAUCAACACUGCUAUCUUUAUUUUCAAGUGACAUUUUACUCAGUGAUAAUGAGUCGGUUCGAUUCUACACUGGUCUAGAGAGUAUUGAAAAAUUUAAGUUAGUAUUCUCAACAUUAUUGCCUAUGGCAGAAAAUCUUACAUAUAGAUGGUCUGGUUCUUACUUAUGUUAAUUAAACUUAGGAGAGCUAAACCUGACCUUGAAUUAUAUAAAAUGUUUGGAGUCAGCAAGACACAAGUGUCAAACAUAUUUAUAACCUGGGUAAAUUUUGUCCAUGAUUUGUGGUCAAUCAUAGAUAUAUGGCCUCAAAGAUAUCUUAUAAAUUAUUAUAUGCCUGCAGAAUACAAAGAAUACAAAAUGCCCACCAGAGUUAUUAUUGACUGCACUGAAAUACCAAUUACUAAACCUGGUGACCCAAUGUCCAAGCAGAUCAUAUCAGCUCCUACAAAAAUAGAAACACAAUAAAAUUUUUAGUUGGUGCUACACCAGGAGGGUUGAUUUCAUAUUGUUCUGAAGGCUAUGGAGGAUCAACUAGUGAUAGGCAAAUGAUAGAGCGAAGUAGCCUUAUGGAAUUAUGUGAUGAAGAAGACAGCAUAAUGGCAGACCGCGGUUUUAAUGUACAAGACCUCUUUGCAUCCAAGAACAUUGGUAUAAAUAUUCCCCAUUUUUUAAAAGGUAAGGCUCAGCUGCCUGGUCUUGCACUUUUACAUGACAGAAAAAUAGCUGCACAAAGAGUACAUAUUGAACGACUUAUUGGCCUAACUAAAACUUUCAAGAUUUUAAAAAUGGAAAUGAAUGCAUAUUAUGUUCCAUUAGCAUCCAAAAAUUUUUAUAUUUGUGUAAUGUUGUGUAAUUUUAGAGAAUGUAUAGUAAAUAAAAAAUAAAAGCCUGAUAUGUUAUUAAUCAUUGUUUUUAUUGAUUACAUUAUAAUAAUCUUUAUAUAAAUACUUAUUUAUAAUUUCAAGCUUCAUACAAUUGUUGUAAAAACUGUCUAAUUUCUUUAUCAUCUCCUUGAACUAGAUGCAGAUCAUACAUUUCAGAAUAUUUUUUUAUGGCAGUCUUUUCAUGCAUAAGGCCAUGUGCUGUGGCUCUUGACGUAAAUUUCUUUUUUGCAAUAGUUGUUUAGCUAAAGACUGUUAGGAUUGUGUCCUCAAGUGACACACCGUAUGAAAAACACUGGCUGUUAUUCUGCAACUACGAAGUUCAUGCCAAAGUGGGUUUUUAAUUUGGUUCCUAGUUUUUAUUUCAAUAGACAUUAAGUAUUUCAUGUUCAGUUAUUUUUGUUAAUUUAAGUUUGUCUAAAAUUAUUUGUUCCUGGUUUUUUUCUAGGUAGUCAUGGUCUUGUAGGAUCGCAAUAGGGUUUGCUGGUAUCAACAGUUGUUUAAGGGGCAUAUUUGACUUGAAAUUCAAGAUCAAAUUUCGGAUUCUUGAAUUAUAAUUAUUUUUAUUAAUUGUCCCCCAUUGGGUAUGCUUCAAAAAUUACAUUUUUGCUAGACCUUCUAGGUAAAUCUUUAACUUUAACAGGUGUCCCAGAAAAUGUUUUCCUUGGCUUAUGAAAAGCAACUGCUGCGUUUUUGUCUCUGUAGUUAACAUUAUUUUGUCUUGUUUCAUGUGUAAUAUAGCAAACAACAGUACACCAAUAUGCUUACAAUGAGCUUCAAUUCCGGCUCCUGCUGGACAUUCACAAUGGCAUUCUUCAAUACUGCCAUUUCUAUCAAGUUUGAUGUCAACUUGAUAUUGUAAUUUCUUCAUGUUUUUUUUUUACAAAACCUCUGAUAUAAAAACUGUCAUUCACAAAAGCAGAUCUUGCAAGUAAUAAACAUUUUGCUUCUUAUAACUUCUCUGCAGCGUCAGUUUUCUUAUUAAACCUAAAAUAAAAGAAUGUAAUUGUAAUAAUAUGAAUACACUGGCUCAAAAAAUCUAUAAGUAGAAAUAUAAUUAUUUACCUUUCAAAAUAAUAUCUCAGAUAAUGCCUUUGAAGUGGUGGUAACAUAGAGGCACUAUUUAUGUCAUGAUACAUUAUCACUGGUGGAAAUUCCAUAGAGGGCUCUUGAUUUGGUGAAAGUAGUAGUGUAGUAAAGUUGAAAUUCUUGUCAUACAACUGUAAUCUGAAACAAUAUCCUAAAAUUAGUUACAUAAUAUAUACUUCAAUAGCAAAAUAAAGCUACAAGCCUACAUUAAAUACAUUCAAGACCUUCAGCUUGUCAAGAGCUAGUUUUGUAACUAGUAUGACCAACAUUAUUAUCUAGUCCCUAACUAAUUUUCGCAUAGUUAUUAAACUAAAUUGUGGAAUAUUUUAAUAAUUAAAAUUGGAUAAUAUUAUUGGGUUCACUGGGUAUCAAGUCAUAAAAACUUAAUGUAUAGUUUAUGUAAGAUUGCAUAGUAUCAGUUACAAAACAAGAUCACGGCAUCAUAUCAAAGAAAUGUGUCUGAAAACAUUAUAAUAACAAAAAUACCUUUCCACCAAAUCAGCUUUCCUUCCUUUAACGGACGCACCUCGUCUCUUUAAUUCAGCUUUUAACUGAAGUAGACUCCAAGAAGAAUACAUUGUCACAUCCAUUACACUGAUAAAUAGCUCAAUUCCAACGCAAAAUGAUUUUAUUCCUUUUGUUUACAAGCGGCGUAAACUGUCAAACUGACGCCAGUGAGAACAAGCAUACGCAGCGCCAUCUGAGAUUAGCUUUAACUUGCCAUCCUCAUUCAGUUCGAAUAAAAAAUGUCAACGCAUACCCAGUUCUGCGUUUCAUUUAAUCAAAACGAAAA